UAGAAGCAUUCUGAGGGUCUAUGGGUGAGU
rnacentral:piRNA from 1 species